rnacentral:hammerhead_ribozyme from 1 species
AGCCAGCUGACGAGUCUCAGAUAAGAAGAAACGCGCAUCCUGGAU